rnacentral:rRNA from 1 species
UACGUAGGGAGCAAGCGUUGUCCGGAAUCAUUGGGCGUAAAGCGCGCGUAGGCGGCCUCAUAAGUCCGUUGUGAAAGUCCAGGGCUCAACCCUGGAAUGCCGGUGGAUACUGCCGGGCUAGAGUCCGGAAGAGGCGAGUGGAAUUCCUGGUGUAGCGGUGGAAUGCGCAGAUAUCAGGAGGAACACCGAUGGCGAAGGCAGCUCGCUGGGACGGUACUGACGCUGAGGAGCGAAAGCGUGGGGAGCGAACAGG